rnacentral:snRNA from 1 species
AUACUCGCUUCGGCGGUACAUAUACUAAAAUUGGAACGAUACAGAGAUUAGCAUAACCCCUGCUCAAGGAUGAUACGCAAAAUCGUGUUAUUUUAAAUCAUAAA